AUCCAGCUGACGAGUCCCGAAAAUAGGACGAAACGCGUGUCCUGGAU
rnacentral:hammerhead_ribozyme from 1 species